rnacentral:tRNA from 2 species
ACGGGCAUAGGUUAAUGGUAGACCAUUUGUCUUCCAAACAAAGUGUGUCGGUUCGAUACCGACUGACCGUA